CACGCCCUAAACGAUGUAUGCUUGGUGUUAGGAUUUUAAUCUUAGUGCCGUAGAAAAUUUGUUAAGCAUACCACCUGGGGAGUACGAUCGCAAGGUUGAAACUCAAAGGAAUUGACGGGGGCCCGCACAAGCGGUGGAUUAUGUGGUUUAAUUCGAUGCAACGCGAAGAACCUUACCCGGGCUCGAAGUGCAGAUGAUUGUCCCUGAAAGGGGGCUUUCCUUCGGGACAUCUGUAUAGGUGC
rnacentral:rRNA from 1 species